CCCAAGUGCCACUCUUAACGGGGUGGCUUUUCAGAAGUGUAAAAAGCUUCUGGAAUAAGGGCUGGGCAAGACCGGUGCCAGCCGCCGCGGUAACACCGGCGGCUCAAGUGGUAGCCGCUUUUAUUGGGCCUAAAGCGUCCGUAGCCGGUCUGAUAAGUCUCUGGUGAAAUCCCC
rnacentral:rRNA from 1 species